rnacentral:rRNA from 1 species
CCUACGGGAGGCUGCAGUGAGGAAUAUUGGUCAAUGGACGCAAGUCUGAACCCGCCAUGCCGCGUGCAGGAAGACGGCUCUAUGAGUUGUAAACUGCUUUUGUACGAGGGUAAAACCAGAUCCGCAUAUCUGUCUGAAUGUAUCGUAUGAAUAAGGAUCGGCUAACUCCGUGCCAGCAGCCGCGGUAAUACGGAGGAUUCAAGCGUUAUCCGGAUUUAUUGUGUUUAAAGGGUGCGUAGGCGGUCGGAUAAGUCAGAGGUGAAAUCCCGAGGCUCAACUUCGUAAUUGCCUCUGAUACUGGUCGGCUAGAGAGUAGUUGCGGUAGGCGGAAUGUAUGGUGGAGCGGUGAAAUGCUUAGAGAUCAUAAAGAACCCCGAUUGCGAAGGCAGCUUACCAAGCUACGACUGACAUUGAGGCACGAAAGCGUGGGGAGCAAACAGGAUUAGAUACCCGUGUAGUC